rnacentral:ncRNA from 2 species
AUGUUCCUGACAAGUCCCGGGAACGAGGAACGCGGUUAAAAUCCGCGGCGGACCCGCCACUGUAAGCGCUACGGACAGAACCGGCGCACACGCAACGCGUGGGGCGCGGCCAUUGCCGUCUUGACAGACGACGAGAAGGUGUACUGUUCCGGUUUGACGCGCGAGCCAGGAUACCGUCCGGGACAGCUUCGCCGAU